AGGAUUUUCAAAAAACCAUUGGAAACGAAGGCAGUGAGAGAGGAGAGUCAAUUUUGAAGAUCAAAGCGAAAUUUCAAAAACACUCACAAAAGGGGGAAAAGAAGAAAUGGGAGAUAUUGCUUUGUUUAUCGAUGAUUUACCAUCAGAUCCUUCAAUUUCACACUGUAGAAUUUGCCACGAAGAAGAAUUUGAAAGCAUGAAAAGCUUGGAAGCUCCUUGUGCUUGUUCUGGCUCUGUUAAAUUUGCACAUAGAGAUUGUAUACAGAGAUGGUGUAACGAGAAAGGGAACACAACUUGUGAAAUUUGUCUUCAGGAAUAUGAACCAGGAUAUACAGUAAUAGCACCUUCAAAGAAGUCUCAACUAAUUGAAGCUGCAGUAACCAUUAGAGAUAGCCUGCAAAUUCCCAGAAGAGAGGUUGAACCACUAGAAGUAAUGAACGACGAAAAUGAAUUCUUUCAAUGUACUUCAACCAUUGAAAGAAGCGCCGCUUGUUGCCGAUCAAUGGCCCUCACCUUUACCGUGGUUUUGCUCAUAAAACAUCUCUUUGCUGUCAUUAAUGGCGAAACAGAUGAUUACCCGUUUGCACUUCUUAUGAUACUGCUUUUGAGAGCCACCGGAAUUUUACUCCCAAUGUACAUAGUAAUUCGAUCAAUUACAGCCAUUCGAAACAACAUUCGACGACGACGACCACGACAACAUCAUGAUUCCGAGGAGAUUGCCAUGUCUGAAGACGAUGAUGAUGAUUGAGCAGCAGCAACUUCACAUUGCCCGACAGAUAUAAUCUUGUUUUGGAGUAGCUUGGAAGAGCAAACAAAUACAAUAACAACUGCAACAAGUGUGGAGGUGUUAGAUUACAAUCAUCCAUUGUAUCUUCAUGCUUCAGAUACAUCAGUGUUUGUUGUUGGUUCGAGAUGGAUAUUUAGACCUGGAGUUCUGAACUGCCGUUAGUGAGAAUCAGUGGUGUUUGAUGGAGUUCAUCGGGACUGAAAAUAUGAGCUUUGAUAUGAACUUUGAAGGAAAAGUUCAUGGCCAUGGCACCCUCUAAAAUGAUCUAAUGAAUGGUGAUUUCCCAAUGGGGUUCUCUGCGUGUCCCAAGACGAUGAUGGGAAAACCUCAUGUAAUGUAAGUUUAGGUGAAUCUAUAUCGUAAGCACGACAACUAAGAUUAGCCUUUGUGGCGUACUCUAUAUGAUUGCCUUUGUGGCGUGUUCUGUUAGGCCUAUGUGGCAUGAACUGUCAGAAAUAUCUGGUAAGCUAUGGAUCUGAAUGUGGCGUGUCUGUCUUUAUGAUAUGGUAUGAGUAAAUUUUAGUAGUUUUGUAAUAAGUAUAACCAAGAUAAUAUAAUUAUAUGCUCUAGAAUAAUAGUUGAAUAAAGUCGUAAGGGUUUCAUGAAAAAGAAAUGUGUAUCUGUAUGUUGAGAAGGGUAUCUAUCACAAUGAAAUGUAAAUAUGGAAAGUAACUUGUAUUGUAUUUUCUUCUAAAAUUAUUUUGAAUCUAAGUUAAUGUUUUUUUGAAUUAUGAGAUUCUGGUAUAGCAUAUUAUGAAGUUCAUUUGGAUGGUAGACGCAGUGAAAUAUCAGUAUGGAUAUGUGUACAAAAUUGGAUCAGAGUAUGUUUGAGUGUAAAUUAAUGGUAUGAAAUUCUACGUAAGUAUUUGCCUUAUAUAUAUGUAUCCGUCCAAGAUAAUGUCAGUGAGAAAUUGUUUGGAAAAAGAGUAUGAGUUAAGGUAUAGAUGGUUGAAAGUGGUUUAUAAGGGUUUGUUAUGUUAAGUAAGUAUUAUGGGAUAAGAGGUCUGUGAAAUGAUUGGAAUGAUUCCUCUGUUAACAAGAUAUAGAAGAUUAGGUAUGAUAAAUGCAUGAUAAUUGGCGUAUAAAGGAAUGCUAACACUAUAUUGGUAUCAGCUGAAGUAAAUGAGGUAGGAUAUAGCUGGCUCAUAGAAAUUCAUACAAUAUUGCAAAGUACCCAUAAAGGUAUGGUCAUAGUGAGUUCACUAAGUACUCUUGUACUUACAAGGUUUGUUAUUGCUUUUCAAGUUUGUUGAGAAGAGGCUUCGCUUGGAAAGGCAAGGCUAGGAAUACACCAAGCUGGUGGCGGAGUGGGCUAUUAUGCAUAUAGUGGAUUUGUGGCGCAGUCUUGAAUACACCUUUUUGAGUCUGUCUUAAAAUAAAAUUCUAACUUGUAAAGAUCUAUAUCAAAUCUGAUGUAAUAAGUUAUUUAUCAUAUAUUUUAUUUUAAAUUUCCAAAUAUUAAGUUUUUUUUUUGAACUUUAAAUAACAAGUUUUAAAUACAUAAGAAAUUGUAAAUUGUUUUUGUUAAAUGUUUUGUAUCAUUUAGUAACACCCGAGAUUCGAACAUUUCAGGGUUAUUUUCGUUCACGCAAUCAAACUUAUACGAAGACCUAGGAUGUGUUGAAGACCUAAUUUGGGCUGCUAACUCCUCUAUAUAUAAGACAUUAGGGGUUGAUUGGUUUAUCAAUUUAAUUUAUUUUUUA